GACGAACGCUGGCGGCGUGCUUAACACAUGCAAGUCGAACGGAAAGGCCCUGCUUUUGUGGGGUGCUCGAGUGGCGAGCGGGUGAGUAACACGUGAGUAACCUGCCCUUGACUUUGGGAUAACUUCAGGAAACUGGGGCUAAUACCGGAUAGGAGCUCCUGCUGCAUGGUGGGGGUUGGAAAGUUUCGGCGGUUGGGGAUGGACUCGCGGCUUAUCAGCUUGUUGGCGGGGUAGUGGCUUACCAAGGCUUUGACGGGUAGCCGGCCUGAGAGGGUGACCGGCCACAUUGGGACUGAGAUACGGCCCAGACUCCUACGGGAGGCAGCAGUGGGGAAUAUUGCACAAUGGGCGGAAGCCUGAUGCAGCAACGCCGCGUGCGGGAUGACGGCCUUCGGGUUGUAAACCGCUUUCGCCUGUGACGAAGCGUGAGUGACGGUAAUGGGUAAAGAAGCACCGGCUAACUACGUG
rnacentral:rRNA from 1 species